rnacentral:rRNA from 1 species
GGUUAAGCGACUAAGCGUACACGGUGGAUGCCCUGGCAGUCAGAGGCGAUGAAGGACGUGCUAAUCUGCGAAAAGCGUCGGUAAGGUGAUAUGAACCGUUAUAACCGGCGAUGUCCGAAUGGGGAAACCCAGUGCAAUUCGUUGCACUAUCGUUAACUGAAUACAUAGGUUAACGAGGCGAACCGGGGGAACUGAAACAUCUAAGUACCCCGAGGAAAAGAAAUCAACCGAGAUUCCCCCAGUAGCGGCGAGCGAACGGGGAGCAGCCCAGAGUCUGAAUCAGCUUGUGUGUUAGUGGAACGGUCUGGAAAGUCCGACGGUACAGGGUGAUAGUCCCGUACACCAAAAUGCACAGGUUGUGAACUCGAAGAGUAGGGCGGGACACGUGGUAUCCUGUCUGAAUAUGGGGGGACCAUCCUCCAAGGCUAAAUACUCCUGACUGACCGAUAGUGAACCAGUACCGUGAGGGAAAGGCGAAAAGAACCCCGGCGAGGGGAGUGAAAAAGAACCUGAAACCGUGUACGUACAAGCAGUGGGAGCACCUUCGGGUGUGACUGCGUACCUUUUGUAUAAUGGGUCAGCGACUUAUAUUCUGUAGCAAGGUUAACCGUAUAGGGGAGCCGCAGGGAAACCGAGUCUUAACUGGGCGUUAAGUUGCAGGGUAUAGACCCGAAACCCGGUGAUCUAGCCAUGGGCAGGUUGAAGGUUGGGUAACACUAACUGGAGGACCGAACCGACUAAUGUUGAAAAAUUAGCGGAUGACUUGUGGCUGGGGGUGAAAGGCCAAUCAAACCGGGAGAUAGCUGGUUCUCCCCGAAAGCUAUUUAGGUAGCGCCUCGUGAAUUCAUCUUCGGGGGUAGAGCACUGUUUCGGCUAGGGGGUCAUCCCGACUUACCAACCCGAUGCAAACUACGAAUACCGAAGAAUGUUAUCACGGGAGACACACGGCGGGUGCUAACGUCCGUCGUGAAGAGGGAAACAACCCAGACCGCCAGCUAAGGUCCCAAAGUCAUGGUUAAGUGGGAAACGAUGUGGGAAGGCACAGACAGCCAGGAUGUUGGCUUAGAAGCAGCCAUCAUUUAAAGAAAGCGUAAUAGCUCACUGGUCGAGUCGGCCUGCGCGGAAGAUGUAACGGGGCUAAACCAUGCACCGAAGCUGCGGCAGCGACACUAUGUGUUGUUGGGUAGGGGAGCGUUCUGUAAGCCUGCGAAGGUGUGCUGUGAGGCAUGCUGGAGGUAUCAGAAGUGCGAAUGCUGACAUAAGUAACGAUAAAGCGGGUGAAAAGCCCGCUCGCCGGAAGACCAAGGGUUCCUGUCCAACGUUAAUCGGGGCAGGGUGAGUCGACCCCUAAGGCGAGGCCGAAAGGCGUAGUCGAUGGGAAACAGGUUAAUAUUCCUGUACUUGGUGUUACUGCGAAGGGGGGACGGAGAAGGCUAUGUUAGCCGGGCGACGGUUGUCCCGGUUUAAGCAUGUAGGCUGGUUAUCCAGGCAAAUCCGGAUAAUCAAGGCUGAGGUGUGAUGACGAGGCACUACGGUGCUGAAGUAACAAAUGCCCUGCUUCCAGGAAAAGCCUCUAAGCAUCAGGUAACAUCAAAUCGUACCCCAAACCGACACAGGUGGUCAGGUAGAGAAUACCAAGGCGCUUGAGAGAACUCGGGUGAAGGAACUAGGCAAAAUGGUGCCGUAACUUCGGGAGAAGGCACGCUGGUGUGUAGGUGAAGUCCCUGCGGAUGGAGCUGAGACCAGUCGAAGAUACCAGCUGGCUGCAACUGUUUAUUAAAAACACAGCACUGUGCAAACACGAAAGUGGACGUAUACGGUGUGACGCCUGCCCGGUGCCGGAAGGUUAAUUGAUGGGGUUAUCCGUAAGGAGAAGCUCUUGAUCGAAGCCCCGGUAAACGGCGGCCGUAACUAUAACGGUCCUAAGGUAGCGAAAUUCCUUGUCGGGUAAGUUCCGACCUGCACGAAUGGCGUAAUGAUGGCCAGGCUGUCUCCACCCGAGACUCAGUGAAAUUGAACUCGCUGUGAAGAUGCAGUGUACCCGCGGCAAGACGGAAAGACCCCGUGAACCUUUACUAUAGCUUGACACUGAACAUUGAGCCUUGAUGUGUAGGAUAGGUGGGAGGCUUUGAAGCGUGGACGCCAGUCUGCGUGGAGCCAACCUUGAAAUACCACCCUUUAAUGUUUGAUGUUCUAACGUUGGCCCCUGACCGGGGUUGCGGACAGUGUCUGGUGGGUAGUUUGACUGGGGCGGUCUCCUCCCAAAGCGUAACGGAGGAGCACGAAGGUUAGCUAAUCCUGGUCGGACAUCAGGAGGUUAGUGCAAUGGCAUAAGCUAGCUUGACUGCGAGCGUGACGGCGCGAGCAGGUGCGAAAGCAGGUCAUAGUGAUCCGGUGGUUCUGAAUGGAAGGGCCAUCGCUCAACGGAUAAAAGGUACUCCGGGGAUAACAGGCUGAUACCGCCCAAGAGUUCAUAUCGACGGCGGUGUUUGGCACCUCGAUGUCGGCUCAUCACAUCCUGGGGCUGAAGUAGGUCCCAAGGGUAUGGCUGUUCGCCAUUUAAAGUGGUACGCGAGCUGGGUUUAGAACGUCGUGAGACAGUUCGGUCCCUAUCUGCCGUGGGCGCUGGAGAAUUGAGGGGGGCUGCUCCUAGUACGAGAGGACCGGAGUGGACGCAUCACUGGUGUUCGGGUUGUCAUGCCAAUGGCACUGCCCGGUAGCUAAAUGCGGAAGAGAUAAGUGCUGAAAGCAUCUAAGCACGAAACUUGCCCCGAGAUGAGUUCUCCCUGAGACUUUAAGUCUCCUGAAGGAACGUUGAAGACGACGACGUUGAUAGGCCGGGUGUGUAAGCGCAGCGAUGCGUUGAGCUAACCGGUACUAAUGAACCGUGAGGCUUAACCUU